rnacentral:rRNA from 1 species
UUUGGAGGAAAGUUUGAUCCUGGCUCAGAUUGAACGCUAGCGGGAUGCCUUACACAUGCAAGUCGAACGGCAGCACGGACUUCGGUCUGGUGGCGAGUGGCGAACGGGUGAGUAAUGUAUCGGAACGUGCCCAGUAGCGGGGGAUAACUACGCGAAAGCGUAGCUAAUACCGCAUACGCCCUACGGGGGAAAGCAGGGGAUCUUCGGACCUUGCACUAUUGGAGCGGCCGAUAUCGGAUUAGCUAGUUGGUGGGGUAACGGCCUACCAAGGCGACGAUCCGUAGCUGGUUUGAGAGGACGACCAGCCACACUGGGACUGAGACACGGCCCAGACUCCUACGGGAGGCAGCAGUGGGGAAUUUUGGACAAUGGGGGAAACCCUGAUCCAGCCAUCCCGCGUGUGCGAUGAAGGCCUUCGGGUUGUAAAGCACUUUUGGCAGGAAAGAAACGUCGCGGGCUAAUACCUCGCGAAACUGACG